AUUGAACGCUGGCGGCAGGCCUAACACAUGCAAGUCGAGCGAGCGGCGGACGGGUGAGUAAUGUAUGGGGACUGCCCGAUAGAGGGGGAUAACUACUGGAAACGGUAGCUAAUACCGCAUACUAUCGGAUAACCCAUAUGGGAUUAGCUAGUAGGUGAGGUAAUGGCUCACCUAGGCGACGAUCCCUAGCUGGUCUGAGAGGAUGAUCAGCCACAUGGGGACGGAGACACGGCCCAGACUCCUCCGGAGGCAGCAGGGGGGAAUAUUGCACAAGGGGCGCAAGCGUGAUGCAGCCAUGCCGCGUGUAUGAAGAAGGCCCGAGGGUUGUAAAGUAAGUGCAGUCGGGAGGUGUUACCGACAGAAGAAGCACAGGCUAAAGCCGUGUCAGCAGCCGCGGUAAUAC
rnacentral:rRNA from 1 species